rnacentral:rRNA from 1 species
UACGGGGGGAGCAAGCGUUGUUCGGAUUUACUGGGCGUAAAGGGCGCGUAGGCGGCCACCGCAAGUCGACUGUGAAAUCUCCGGGCUUAACUCAGAACGGCCAAGUGAUACUGUCGCGCUAGAGUGCGGAAGGGGCAAUCGGAAUUCUUGGUGUAGCGGUGAAAUGCGUAGAUAUCAAGAGGAACACCUGAGGUGAAGACGGGUUGCUGGGCCGACACUGACGCUGAUGCGCGAAAGCCAGGGGAGCAAACGGG